rnacentral:rRNA from 1 species
AGAUUGAACGCUAGCGGGAUGCUUUACACAUGCAAGUCGAACGGCAGCGCGGACUUCGGUCUGGCGGCGAGUGGCGAACGGGUGAGUAAUAUAUCGGAACGUGCCCAGUAGCGGGGGAUAACUACGCGAAAGCGUGGCUAAUACCGCAUACGCCCUACGGGGGAAAGGGGGGGAUCGCAAGACCUCUCACUAUUGGAGCGGCCGAUAUCAGAUUAGCUAGUUGGUGAGGUAAAGGCUCACCAAGGCGACGAUCUGUAGCUGGUUUGAGAGGACGACCAGCCACACUGGGACUGAGACACGGCCCAGACUCCUACGGGAGCAGCAGUGGGAAUUUGGACAAGUGGGGGAAACCCUGAUCCAGCCAUCCGCGUGUGCGA